CAACCCAGCAGCUGGUGGCCUCCAUGUCCCAAGCUGCACCAGGUACCAAAGAGCUGAUAGACUCAAAGGUCUGACUCAUAUUUGAGGAGAAAGUGAUAACCAAGGGCAGGAAGACAGUUAUUUUGCAUUGAAAUCAAUGGGAACAGCACACCAAAUGUGGGCACAGAGUGGAUGAAAGAGUUAGCAAAGCAC